rnacentral:rRNA from 1 species
ACACUCCUGCGGGAGGCAGCAGUGGGGAAUUUUGGACAAUGGGGGCAACCCUGAUCCAGCAAUGCCGCGUGAGUGAAGAAGGCCUUCGGGUUGUAAAGCUCUUUUGUCAGGGAAGAAACGGUGGUGGCGAAUAACUACUACUAAUGACGGUACCUGAAGAAUAAGCACCGGCUAACUACGUGCCAGCAGCCGCGGUAAUACGUAGGGUGCAAGCGUUAAUCGGAAUUACUGGGCGUAAAGCGUGCGCAGGCGGUUGUGUAAGUCAGAUGUGAAAUCCCCGGGCUCAACCUGGGAAUUGCAUUUGAGACUGCACGGCUAGAGUGUGUCAGAGGGGGGUAGAAUUCCACGUGUAGCAGUGAAAUGCGUAGAUAUGUGGAGGAAUGCCGAUGGCGAAGGCAGCCCCCUGGGAUAACACUGACGCUCAUGCACGAAAGCGUGGGGAGCAAACAGGAUUAGAUACCCUUGUAGUCCC